rnacentral:lncRNA from 1 species
AGUUAGAGACGCCGGUGAAGAGAUCGGAGAAGUUCGUCGGAGAGAAGCAAAUUAUCGGCGUAGCGAGCGAGAGUGGAGAGCGGUGGUGGGUGGUUGGUUCAAUGGACUUGGAGAAAGAAAAUUGACUGAGCCGCUUCAGCGCGGCGCCAUUCGGAAUUGUCCAGUUGAAACUAAUCAAAUGAUAAUUUGGGACCCGUUUUU